rnacentral:misc_RNA from 1 species
UACGGGGGAUGCAAGCGUUAUUCGGAAUUAUUGGGCGUAAAGGGUCUUCGGGCGGUUAAAAAAGUCUUUUUAUAAUAAAUGUACUGAACUUAUAUUUAAAGUUUAAAGAUACUUUUUUUCUUGAGAUAUUGUGGAAGCUGAAGGAAUUUCUAGAGUAACAGUUAAAUGUUUUGAUACUAGAAAGAACACUAAAAGCGAAGGCGUUCUUGCUAUUCUGUUCUGACGCUUAUAAGACGAAAGCUAGGGGAACAAAUGGG